ensembl:lncRNA
GUGCUGGGGAUUCCAGCCGACUGGGUUGUGUCCCCUCUGGGGCAGAGGGAACCUGAGGGCAAAUGCCCUGGGAGGCACGUGUGACCAUCCUGAGAAUCAGUCUAGGACAAUCCUCCCGAGGAGACUCCUGGGUCUCACGUCCCUCUGCGUCCUGAACAGACAGGGAGAGAGUACCGGGAGGAGAGUCAGGACUCCUGGGGAAGAGGGCUCUCUGAGGGUGACAGCAAGCAUCUCUCAGGGUUCUGGGGUCUCUGCCUGGACAGAAGGCCCAGGACCUGCCUGCACACCUGUCCUGCAGAGGGCUCUCCUCGUUUCUCCUGUGUUUCUGCAGAUGGGGUCCAGGGUGGAAAGAGGACAGCCCAGAGACACUAAGGAGCUCAGCCAAGGUCACACAGCCAUUUAGGUUCCUGCCUUUUGGCCCCGUUGCUCUUUCGACAGCAUCUUACGCAACUUACACCCUGGUUGGAGGUGCAGGAAAGGCACCUGUGGAACAAUUACAGAACUCUCAUGGGGAGGAGACUUCCCCUUGCUGGUGAUUUCCCACCCACAGUGGGCUUGUUGCCAGUGUUUUUAUGCUGUUUACUUAUUAUAUGCUUGUCUGGGGGGAGGGGUUGUAAUUUUCUUUUGAGACACUGGAAAAUCCCACAAUUUAAAAAAAUUCAGUGAAAUCUAAUUCCUAUAUUUUUG